GUUGUUGUGAUGAAAUGUUGAGUUACCGCCCCAGUCUGAUAUAACUAUGACUGAAUGGUAAAUAUUCUGAUACAAC